rnacentral:rRNA from 1 species
UAGGGAAUCUUGCACAAUGGGCGAAAGCCUGAUGCAGCCAUGCCGCGUGAGUGAAGAAGGCUCUAGGGUUGUAAAACUCUUUCAGCGGGGAAGAUAAUGACGGUACCCGCAGAAGAAGCCCCGGCUAACUCCGUGCCAGCAGCCGCGGUAAUACGGAGGGGGCUAGCGUUGUUCGGAAUUACUGGGCGUAAAGCGCGCGUAGGCGGAUUAGUAAGUCAGUGGUGAAAGCCCGGGGCUCAACCUCGGAACUGCCUUUGAUACUGCUAGUCUUGAGUUCGAGAGAGGUGAGUGGAAUUUCUAGUGUAGAGGUGAAAUUCGUAGAUAUUAGAAAGAACACCAGUGGCGAAGGCGGCUCACUGGCUCGAUACUGACGCUGAGGUGCGAAAGCGUGGGGAGCAAACAGG